GUCCCUGUAGCGCAAUGGAUAGAUAGCGCGUGGAACUUCUAAUUCAAAGGUCGUGAGUUCGAAUCCCACCUGGGAUG